rnacentral:rRNA from 1 species
CUCCAGUUGGAUGCAUGUCCUUCUGGGAAAGAUUCUAUCGGUAUGGGAUGGGGUCGCGUCCUAUCAGCUUGAUGGCGGGGUAACGGCCCACCAUGGCUUCGACGGGUAGCCGGCCUGAGAGGGCGACCGGCCACAUUGGGACUGAGAUACGGCCCAGACUCCUACGGGAGGCAGCAGUGGGGAAUAUUGCACAAUGGGCGCAAGCCUGAUGCAGCGACGCCGCGUGCGGGAUGACGGCCUUCGGGUUGUAAACCGCUUUUGACUGGGAGCAAGCCCUUCGGGGUGAGUGUACCUUUCGAAUAAGCACCGGCUAACUACGUGCCAGCAGCCGCGGUAAUACGUAGGGUGCAAGCGUUAUCCGGAAUUAUUGGGCGUAAAGGGCUCGUAGGCGGUUCGUCGCGUCCGGUGUGAAAGUCCAUCGCUUAACGGUGGAUCCGCGCCGGGUACGGGCGG